GUCUACGGCCAUACCACCCUGAACGCCCCCGAUCUUGUCUGAUCUCGGAAGCUAAGCAGGGUCGGGCCUGGUUAGUUCUUGGAUGGAAGAGUGUCUGAGUUCCAGUACUAGCUC
rnacentral:rRNA from 1 species